UUGUUUUGAGCUGAAACACUUCAUGAAGAAACAUUUUGUUGCUGGUAACUACAGCAGAAAACAAACCAGGCCAUGGUUCAUGAUCAUUAUCACCCAAUAGAGUCUCAGUCACAUAAGAAAAGAUGGCCAACCCCAUGUCCUCUCCCACUCUCCCACUAGUCCAUGAGCCACUGUCUUAUAAAAAGGGAUCAGCUGUUCAAGAGAAAAGAAAAGAAUUAGAUUUUUUUAGCCAAAAACUCAUAAAAUCGAGACUACAACUUCUGAUUAUGCUAAUGAUUUUUAUUCUUGUCAUGAUCGGGAGCAUAUGGCAGUUGAAGAACCUAAGGAGCUCGAGGAUAAGCGUGGAAACAACACUGAAGUGGAGAAAGGAGUCUCAGAUAUUGCUUACCAUGGUUGAAAGACCAAGGAGAAACAAAGCUGCUGGAAAAAUAUGAGUGUUCUUUUCUCUGUUUUGUAUUUUUCCAGUGUCUCAGGUCUCAGAAGAACACUCACCAGAAAUAGAACAUAAAAUUUUAACAGAAAGUGAAGUGUUGGAGUAGCAGAUAAGCUUGGAAUCAGAAACAACUCAUGCGCCUUUGUCCCCAGACUCACAAGAGCAAAAGAACAGAUCUCGUUCUUGAGACGAGAGAGAGAAAGGAAACAGAAAGAAGACAUGGGAAGAGGCUCGUCGAUCCCGUCGCACUCCCUUCGAUUCCGCCCCAGUCUUUCACCACCACCACAGUCACUUCUCUAUUUGCCUGUCUAUCUGUCCGUUUUGAAUCUGUUUUUUUUUCUGUUCAUGGGCAGAUCUGCUGGCCGUGAGCAGAGGAGACAAUAUAUGGUGACCUGAGUGAAAGAGAAGACUGGACAAGAAAAUAAUGGACGAGACAGAAAGAAUCGACGGAUUCAGCAGAGACUAUACAAAAAGUUCAAUGAAGCUUGGAGAUGUACAGGAGUUAUCACCGGAAUGGUGCAGAAAAUCUGUAUUUUGGGUUUUCUAUGUAAGAGACAUAAUUCACCCAUGUAUUUUGUAUUUGACUUAUGCUAUAUUUAUAUAACCAAUCCGUAUCGUUUAGAUAAUUCUGCUGUAUCGUUUAUAUAACUCAGCCAUACUUUAAACAUACCAUAAAAUCAGAAGA